GACAGAGGGGGCAAGCGUUGCUCGGAAUCACUGGGCGUAAAGGGCGCGUAGGCGGCCAGCACAAGUCAGUUGUGAAAUCUCCGAGCUUAACUCGGAAAGGUCAACUGAUACUGUGCGGCUAGAGUGCGGAAGGGGCAACUGGAAUUCUUGGUGUAGCGGUGAAAUGCGUAGAUAUCAAGAGGAACACCUGCGGCGAAGGCGGGUUGCUGGGCCGACACUGACGCUGAGGCGCGAAAGCUAGGGGAGCGAACGGG
rnacentral:rRNA from 1 species